ensembl:rRNA 5S_rRNA 5S ribosomal RNA
GUCUAUAGCUAUACCACCCCAGAAGUUCCUGCUCACAUCUGAGCUCUGAUGCUAAGCAGGGUCAGCCUUGGAGGGGAGACG